rnacentral:rRNA from 1 species
UACGGGGGGAGCAAGCGUUGUUCGGAUUUACUGGGCGUAAAGGGCGCGUAGGCGGCGGGGUAAGUCGGGUGUGAAAUCUCAGAGCUCAACUCUGAAACUGCACUCGAUACUGCUCUGCUUGAGGACUGGAGAGGAGACUGGAAUUCACGGUGUAGCAGUGAAAUGCGUAGAUAUCGUGAGGAAGACCAGUGGCGAAGGCGGGUCGUCUGGACAGUUCCGUGACGCUC